UUAAACCGGCGCACGGGUGAGUAACACGUGAGUGACCUGCCUUUUAGACUGGAACAACUUACCGAAAGGUGAGCUAAUGCCGGAUGAGUUAUAUAAGUGCAUGUUUAUAUAGGAAAAGUUGGGGAGACCUGACGCUGAAAGAUGGACUCGCGUCCCAUUAGCUAGUUGGUGGGGCAACGGCCCACCAAGCCGACGAUGCGUAGGGGUUCUGAGAGGAAGGUCCCCCACAUUGGAACUGAGACACGGUCCAAACUCCUACGGGAGGCAGCAG
rnacentral:rRNA from 1 species